CAACCUUUCCCAGCAUCAGGGUCUUUUCCAAUGAGUCAGUUCUUAGCAUCAGGUGGCCAAAGUAUUGGAGCUUCAGCUUCAGCAUCUGUCCUUCCAAUGAAUAUUCAGGGAUGAUUUCACUUAGGACUGAUAUUCUGCUUUUUGGUGUUUGGAUUCAGUACUGAGGAUUUGAUGCUUUUCUUCAGAUCAGAGGCAACUGGCUGUAGUCCUAUAGGCCUAGGGUCCCCAGAAAGGUAGCCAGGAAAGGUCUCCCACAGCCCAUUCCCCUAAAAUAGUUUCAACAAUCCUUCCAUUCUGAGAUAAUCCCAGAAGCCAAAAUGCCAAACUAGGAAGGGAACUGGGUGGGGGCGUCUGCAGUGAGGCCGCCAUGCCCACCCCCACCAGCCCAAACAGAUUUGCCGGAGUGAGUUAUAAAUCUACUGGUACCAUUUCUUUUUCGUCACUUGCCUAAUCCUGUGCCCUUCGUUUCAUGUGCUGUAAUUAUUAACAUCUGCUUUCUGAGCCUGGCCCGCAUGGAGUUUGCAAAGGCAGUUUUCAGUCCAGAACAAUGGUGACAGCUGUUUCAUUUAGCCUAGGGCCAGCACUUCCUGUUCAGUCUACAUCUGCCCUCCUGUGUCCAAUUUCUGAUUCAGGGUUUUCUGUUUUGUUUUCUGGGUUGUUUUUUUUUUUCCCUUCAUCUGACCUUACUAUAUGUUUGAGAAGAAUUUCUAACUUAACACUCCGGCUAGUAUUUCUAGCACAUAUGCUUAUUAGAUUGGCGACAGCCAAAGAGAGAGAUAGGAGAAAACCAGGACUGUCUUCCGCAGCUAACAAGGUGGAGGGCAGACAGAGGCACAAAGGAGGUCUGACCAUGAAUCUAGGGGACCAGACUCAAGGAAACUUCUGGGCCUUGAAGUUGAAGUAUAGGCUGACCUCUCUGGAAGCUAGGCACAGGAAGAGCGGCCUUAGCUCACCUGUCCCCUGACCCAGUAUCAUCUCCAUAGCUUAUUUGGUAAGAGGUCACCCAAACAUAUCUCCAAGGGAACCGUGUGUCUGGGUGGCCACCAACACACGGAGGCCCUUCUUCCUUGGGAAUCAAGGAAGCUCGUCAGGUGAGGCAAGAUUCAGAGGCCCCCAGUUCACUGUUUCCCGCUGAGGCUCCAGCAUUGCAAUAGAAACCCUUCCUAAUUUGUACCCGGAAGUCCAAUGGACGGGAAAGGACCAUACUGCCGUGGGGCAGUGCUCGGUAUUUAUUGCCAAACGGGGCGAAACGCAGUCUCCACUUGGAUAAGAACUGCAGGGGGUGGAAGUGUCCUGUGGGUGCACAAGGGAGAGCAUGGAAAGGCAGACUCACCCAUCAGAGGCUCCCGACCUCCAGAGGCUGCCUCUGCCUCUCGCGGGAUCUCUAGCGUGUGUCUGCCCCUCUCGCGGGAUCUCAGGGCAUCAGGACUGGAGAUCUCGCAAGAGCUGAUGCCCACCUCACCCCCUUACAACUCUUAGCAGAUGAAGAAACUAAACGUCAGGGAGAGGGGGUGCUUUCCUGCGGUUGUCGCUUGGUCGAGCUUGAUGCUAUUGGACAGAGAAGCAAAGGAAGAUAUGCUCCGACUGGCUGCACCCCUGGGCUGAAAUCUCAGCUCCCUCAGUGACCCUCCCCACUUGAUGGUCUGCUUGCAGAUUUCCGUAACAGUCUCUUCGCUCGCUCCUUCAGGUCCAAGUGUGGUUUAUUGAUUAAAGUUGAGUCUCCUACAACCAACAAUGAAAGAAAGGGGUCUUCAUCAAGGAGAAAAGGAAGGAAACAGAAUUCAGAGAACUGGCCCAGGACCCUUGCAACACCUGGCAAGUACAUCAUCUCAUUGAGUGAUGAAGAAGGACAUGGUGGCCCUCCUAUAAUUCAUCACAGUUCAUUAUGUCAUAGUCAACAUAACCAAGUGCUUAUGAUAAACCUGACUCUGUGCUUUAUGGUCUUGACUCAUUCAAUCUGUUAAUGACAUUAACUGGAACAACUCCAAAAGGUGGGAGGAAGAAAGUGAGGCCCAUAGGCAUGCACUGACAUGGGGUCACACAGCUGCUGAGAGUGGAGAGCUGGGGCUUGAACCCACAUAGUCCUUCCAUAAUUAUCUACUCCACUACCCACCUCCUCACCUGAGUGGAUUCUGCCAUGUGGGGCCUUCCAGGUUUAGGUUAUGACCUGGGCACUGGGGAAACUGAACUGAGAAUCAGCUGGGCACAGGCCCAACAGCACGGCUGAGUGAAGUGAAAAGCAGGCUUGCCGGGGUGAAGGAAGACCAGACCAGCUUCCCACCUGGAUCCCUCUGUCUCCUGUCUUUCUCUCAUCAUGGCCACAGGCAGCCUCUGGAAGAGCAUUACCAGAAAAUCAGGAAAGAAAGAGACAGCCCUCUGUUAAAGAGAAACCCAAAGGCCCCAGAUGACAUCUCCUGUACUAAAGCCUCUGCUGACAGACCUGACAUCUAUGGUUUUGCCCUUCCCCAGGAAGGUAAUGGUACUAAGCCAGUCUGGAAUUCCCUGGUCAGCACCAAUGAGAUCAUCUAUCAUGGGGCCCUCUCCAUUUCCCCCACCAAGGGAUGAAGAGGUAACCUGCAUGAUAGACCUUCAUUCCCUGCCUCUGCCCCCAAGAAGGUGACCUGGUCUGAAACAGUCCUUUCUUGUCUUUUGCUGAAGAGCUUCCUUGCCUCACCCUCCUCCUGCCUAUAAAAACCAUCCAUUUUGUGUAAUUCCUCUGAGCAUCCUCUACUCACUAGGUGGGAUGCUGCUGCAUUCUUGAAUCAUUGAAUAAAACCAAUUAGAUCUUCAAU